rnacentral:rRNA from 1 species
CAUAUGGAUUCCUACGGGAGGCAGCAGUCGAGAAUAUUUAGCAAUGGGCGAAAGCCUGACUAUGCGACGCCGCGUGAGGGAUGAAGGUUUUCGGAUCGUAAACCUCUUUUGUCGGGGGAGAAAAAAUCGCACCUAACAGAUGCGAGACUGACGGUACCCGACGAAUAAGCCACGGCCAACUCCGUGCCAGCAGCCGCGGUAAUACGGAGGUGGCAAGCGUUACUCGGAAUCAUUGGGUGUAAAGGGCAAGUAGGCGGUCUAAUAAGUGAGGGGUGAAAUCCUGCGACUCAAUCGCAGAACUGCCUUUCAAACUGUCAGACUUGAGGUAAGAAGAGGAAAAUGGAAUUCUAGGUGUAAGGGUGAAAUCUGUAGAUAUCUAGAAGAACACCAACGGCGAAGGCAAUUUUCUACUCUUAUCCUGACGCUAAAUUGCGAAAGCUAGGGGAGCAAACAGAAUUAGAUACUCUGGUAGUCCUAGCCGUAAACGAUGAGCACUAGGUGUUGGUCCCUUUGGGGCCAGUGCCGCAGCUAACGCAUUAAGUGCUCCACCUGGGGACUACGGUCGCAAGGCUAAAACUCAAAGGAAUUGACGGGGGCCCGCACAAGCGGUGGAACAUGUGGUUUAAUUCGAAGAUACGCGAAAAACCUCACCAAGGCUUGACAUACAGAUAGUAGUGAACCGAAAGGGGAACGAGCCGUCAAGUCGGCAAGCUGUACAGGUGCUGCAUGGCUGUCGUCAGCUCGUGUCGUGAGAUGUUGGGUUAAGUCCCGCAACGAGCGCAACCAUUUUCCCAUGUUGCAAUUGCAUCUAGACCUCACGGUUUGGGUGCAAGCACUCUUGGGGUACUGCCUGGGAUAACCAGGAGGAAGGUGGAGAUGACGUCAAGUCAGUACGGCCCUUAUGCCUUGGGCUACACACGUGUUACAAUGGGUGAAACAAAGGGUUGCCAACCCGCGAGGGGGAGCUAAUCUCUAAAAAUCAUCCUCAGUUCAGAUUGGAGUCUGCAAUCCGACUCCAUGAAGCCGGAAUCGCUAGUAAUGGAAGAUCAGCACGCUUCCGUGAAUACGUUCCCGGGCCUUGUACACACCGCCAUCGGAUCCCC